rnacentral:rRNA from 1 species
ACUAAGCCAUGCAUGUGCAAGUAUAAACGCUCUUGCAUCGUGAGACUGCGAAUGGCUCAUUAAAUCAGUUAGAGUUUAUUUGAUGGUGGNU